UACGUAGGGAGCAAGCGUUGUCCGGAAUCAUUGGGCGUAAAGGGCGCGUAGGCGGUCUGUUAAGUCAAGUGUGAAAAUCAUGGGCUCAACCCAUGAAGUGCGCUUGAAACUGGUGGACUGGAGUACAGGAGAGGAAAGUGGAAUUCCUAGUGUAGCGGUGAAAUGCGUAGAUAUUAGGAAGAACAUCGAUGGCGAAGGCAGCUUUCUGGCCUGAAACUGACGCUGAGGCGCGAAAGCGUGGGGAGCAAACAGG
rnacentral:rRNA from 1 species